ensembl:lncRNA
CCCCACAUCCCCGCCCGCAGGGCCAAGCCCCGACCCCACGCGUUUCCGAGCCCCACGCCGGCGCCCCGGCGGCAGAGGGGGCGCCCGGCCCGCGGCUCACCUGCACGCUCGAUCCCGGGGCCGCUCGGAGGGGCGCGGGGCGCUGGGCGCAGGCGAGCGCGGCCCGCAGACUCAAACUUUGUUGCUCUCGGGACGGCGCAGUCGUCACUUCCUCGCGGAGCGGGCGGCGCGGCCCGGGCUGUGACCCAGCAGCUCGCGCGGUGGCGCGCCGGGCCCUGCAGCCGCCCGCCCGCCCGCGCCCCCGGCUCUUGCGCGCCCCGGUUGCCCGGGCGCCGACUCCCCAGCUCGGCUCGCCCACGGCUGCCGGGGCCCCGCGGCCAGUCGUCCGCCGAGCCUGCACCCCUGCGGGUCGUUUCCGCGCCGAAGAACUGCGACCGAACCUGUGUUCUCAGGCUGGGUCUGGAAGAUCUCUUUGAGGCCUGAUGCAUUCCGCGUUUCAUCACGGGCCAAAAGUGACUUAGAGGGUAGGGUGGAGUCCCGAGAAGAGGAGCAUCAGGCAAGUCAUUUUAAAUUUAUCGUUCCCCAAAAUAAGUUCGCUCGCCCUAUUAAAAACUGCAACAAAAAGUCACCUUUUUGGUUUCUGAUAAAUAGCAACAAAGUAGUUAAACAACAAUCUUUAGGGAAGAGUUCUCUCCAGCUUUGCUGGAGAGAAAACCGGGUUAGCCUUUGCUGUGGUUAAAAAAAAAAAAAAAAAAAAAAAAAAAAAAAAAAAAGCAGACAUUUGAAACUGCAGUGGAGGGCUUUCAUAACAGAAACAUUAGCUUCAUUGUAGCUUGUUGCGGAAAACAGGGAGCUUUUUAAAGGUGGUUCAAAAGCAUCGGUUGGGGCUCAACAAUUUUCCCUUUUUCCCCAAAUGCUGCUUCUACUAGCACGUUGGCCAGAUCAUAGAAUCUCCCAUACUAAUGCUUCAUCUUUUUACUAAAGCACAGGAAACCCUAGAGUAAAGGCUUUGUCCAGAAAGAUGGAUGUGAAACUGAUGGAAAGUGACAUCUGGGAAAUGAUCCCCAGUUCUGCGUUCAUAUCUAAUGGGAAGCCACAAAUGCAGAAUCAUCCUCCCAAGACUGGGAGUAUGCAGAUGAGGCUCUCCUAGCAACGUGAAAUCCCCCACACUUCAGCCCGUAUGUGCUAGUUCUGACUUCUACCCAGACAUUAUUAAUGGCACAUUAUAAAUACAAAAUGUACCACGUAAGAAAAAUAGUGUCGCUUUGAGAAAUACACAUGCGUUGUUAGACUCUUAAUAAUGACAAUUUUCUGAAAUUUUUACUGCAUCAUACUAUUGUGGGGGGAUGGUGGAGGGAUUGCCCACUUCUGUUUGGGGAUAGAUAGAAGUAAUUCCUUAGUGUAUUCUCCUUACGGCAAGCAAUGAUAUAAUCAAGGGGAGUAGAGCAAAUAUGUCACCCAGACUUCUAAAAACAACCACGUGAUACUCCGUAUUUGCUAGGACAAGAGCAGAGUAUUUCUUUGUUCGGGAUUGUGAUUCUGAAUUCUCAGUCACAAUUUCAUGAAUAUUCAGGAUUUCUGCAUGCCCAGGAAUAAUUAGCAGAUGGUGUAAAUGUGUGAAGGCCUGACACUUAUAUAUGCACACACAUGCAUUGCUUUUCCUCUGUAGAGUGGCAUUUGCUGGAGGACCACGGUGUGGAAGCUGUGGUAGGUGGUCUCAAAGACAGUCCCCUGCUAGU